CUCCCUCGCUUCUCUCGACCUCUAGUAGCCAUGGAAUCCUUAUAUCAUUGUUUUCUCUCUAAAGCUUGAAGCCCAGAAGUUUCCACCAUGAAAGACGGUCACUGAAGCUUCGCCUGGGUCUGUUUCCGGCUUUUUCUCCGGUGGUUUUGUCUGAUGAUGCCUUCUAUGGCAUUAUAUCCGAGUUUCACGGCCAGGUUCUUUGUUUUCCCUAAUUUGUUUGCAAACCCUAGUUUUUUUACUCGAACCUCUUUAAUCUCAGCUCUUUUAAAACAACUCUCAGUUUUGAUUUUGUUUUAUACUCUAUUUUUUACUUAGUGUUUCCGGUUAUUUCAAAUUUCAGAUGGUUACUACACUUUUAAAUUAGGGUUUCUGACCCCCUUCUUCAAAAUCGUUUCUUCUGAUCUUUCUGAGUACUAUAUGUUCGUUUGUGUUUAUUUGUUUUACUUGUUUGUUUGGUGUCCUUUUUAACCUGGGUCCAUGCUUUAAUUUUUUCUUGCUAGGGUUUUCGACCCCUUUCAAGAUCACUACUUCUUCUGCUUCCUUUGAAUGUUAUGUAUGCAUGUAUUAUAUAUUUGCUUUUGUUACGAGCAUAUUUGUUUCUAAGUUCCAUGCUUUAAACUUUUUUACUAGGGUUCCAACCCUCUACUCUUUUAUGAUUUCUUUCACAUUGUUCUCUGAUUUUCACACCUAUUGUGUUUAUAAGUCUAAUUGUUAUUUGAAUGAUUCUGCGCAUCUCUUUGAAUCCCUAAUAUGUAUGUGUUUUCCUUAAAGGUACUUACACUGAUUUCUUGUAUUAUUUCCUUGCCUGUGAAAUGCUCUUUAUAAUUACCAUUGAUUCCCUCUGAUUUUUAGUCUCGUCCGUGAUUCUUUGACUAAUUUCAGAGUUAAUUUUGUAUUCUUACCAUAUUUUGUGCUCUUAAAUAUUUUUACAAUAAUCAGUACAUAUUUUCCUUAUUUUGAGUAUUAUGUAUUUGGCCUCUAUUACAUACUACAGGCCUACUACUUUACUAUGGUGUAAUUAGUCGUCUAAUUGACUCUUUCCUUAUAUGAUAUAGUUGUAUUCCCAUUCGAAGCAUGAAUCCCAUAUUAAUUUGAAUUAGGACCUAUGAUUUAUUCAAUUUGGUACUAUUUCUAUUAUUAUAUACUCCCUACCAUAAUCUUUGUUAUUUUCAAAACUAUAAAUACUCCUCACCUUUCUCUUUGAAUACACCAUCACACACUGCAUAUCUCUCACAACCUCAGACUCUUUGAAUUUUUUUCUUUCUGUGCUAUUACUAUUCUCUCUCUUACUCUCUUAUUUGAACACUCAAUUGACUGAAAGCCAAGAUUGAGUAGCCUGGGUUGAUUACUUCUACACUACUUGGUUUUAUUGUUUGUUUACUUGGGUCUGUUGCUGCUGCUAUUCUCUUACUGAUGAUGCACAUUGUUAUUCUCUCUGUUGCUUACACUCUCUUCUCACCUUGUUCCUCUGUGCACUAUUGUUAUUAUGGUCUAUUACUUGCAACUGGUAUGUUACCCCUUUAAGAUAUAGUUUCCACAACAACAUGUUUCUAUUAAUUUUGCAUUUCAUAAUGUUUCUUGUAUGCUUUUACUUAUGGUUUGCUGCUCUUUUUGUCACUAGCAUGGUACUUAACAUGCUCCCUUACCCCUCCCCUGCCUCAAUGAAUGUUUACUUUUUCCUUGUGUACUACUACCAUGCAUCCAUGUCUGCUUGGCUACUUGGUCAACCUAAAACCUCUGUUUGAGGCUAAGCGUAUUGGAGUUUGGUACAGUUUAAGAACUGAACUCUUGUUUUGCAACCAUGUCUGGUUACUUUCUUCCACUAAAACUUCUGUUUGAGGCCAAGUCUAUUAGAGUUUGGUAAAAUAAGAAUAGAACUCUUGUUUUGCAACCAUGUCUGGUUACUUGCUUCCAAUGUGUUGCCUAUGUGAUUAGUUUACUUUUCUUAUUCGUUCCCUUCCCCUUUGUCCUUAUUUGUGUGAUGCUCUGGUGUUCAAAAACUGGUCAGUCUAAAUGAUUUCAAAAGAACUCUUGCAACUCUUCCAACAUUUUCCUUAAACUCUCUCAAUUCUUUCAGCUGCUUUCUCAAACUGUCUCUCAAAUGUUUUCAUCUCUCUCAAACUUCAUCAUAAUCUCACUACUCUUAGAAAUUAG
rnacentral:lncRNA from 1 species